GGUUCUGCUCUCUCUCUCCCUCUCUUUGCUGCCUUCUGUUUCUUACGUUGAAAAGGGGAGACCCAAUAGAAGCGGUGGGCAUAUAAAUAGGAGAAGAAGAAGUGGGGUGAGGUAGUGAAGAGAGUUACGUGGUUCUUCCUCCAGAGAACACCUAACUAAAUCCCAUUAUCAUAUGAGGAAACCAAGAGGUGUAACCUUGGUUGGGGGAAGGCUUCUCUCUGUUUCGGUCAUCACAUGAAGAAUGAAGAAGAUUAGGGCUUUAAUCAUGGUUAGAUUUCUGAUGAUGCAUAUGCUUAUGGUCUGGUUGAACCGGAAAAAAAAAUGGUUUAAUGUGUGUUGGUUCAUACUUCACAAAUCUUAAUGAUAUAUCUAUACUGUUCUUUUCACUUAUCAAGUCUAAGUCCACCUUAUUAUUUUAUGGUGAGGUGAUUCUCGGAUAUUUAUCGAAUUUCUCAUCACAGAAUUUUUGAGAUUAACUCUGUGGAAAAUCGGGGUGUUAUAUCCCACCCACCUUACAAAAAGUUUCGCCCUCGAAACUUCGAGUGUUUCUUAAGGGUUAUAAAACCACAAAAGAUCCUAUCUUAACUAUCUCAACAACUGUCUUACGCAAGGAAAUGUUUGAUCUUAAAGGUGUUCAUAAACGAAAUCGAUGAAAACUCUCCACAUUCGUACCUCGUGUCACCGUGCUUGCACUGCGAAUCACUCACAUCGGGUCAUCUUGGAUUCAUCGUUACCAUUCUCGUACUAUUUAUAUCCCAACGUUUAACAAUCAACCGUACUUCUAAGUACAGCAGCAGCACGCCACACAAAUAUGGUCAUCGGCGUUUUAAAAUUUUAUGAUGGCGGUCUAUCUGAUAAUCGCAGGUGUUGUGAGAAAUCCUAUAUCGAUAAAUUUAUCCACUCGCAAUCAUUGAGGUCUUAUUCAUUCCCAACAAUCAACAUCAAGGUGAUCAGCCUUAACAUAUCAGGUCAAGUAUGAAUAAUUCCUGAACAAGCGCUCGCAGACGAUCAUGCUGAAUGCAUCAAUGAAGAUACCUAAUAGCAUGAGAAAACAAAAAGCAGAGUAUGCAACGAAGCAUAGUCAGUCCAUUCCCAGGCUCUAUUAGGAACGAACUGCUCUGAUACCAAGUUGUAACAAUCCAAUUUCCGACAGGUCCGGAUCACUGCCAGUCGUCGGGUGUUACUUCCCGGUAGCCCUAUAAAACUCUAGACUCGAUAAUAUUUACUACAUAUGAGCCUUUCGUACUAACAGGAUCGCGUAUGUUAACUUAUUUUUAUCAUAUAGUUGUUUUAACAAACCUAUUAACAAAACCAUGAACAUCUUCGGAGAUAUACAAUAUAAAAUAAAUACCAGACUAACAGCAAAAUUAAAUUUAGCAAUAAGAUCACAGAAAAGCGUUCAUACAAACUUGACACGCUUAGAUAGAUAUAUAUAUAUAUAACUGACAACUUUCCAGAUACCUAGUUCAUAUAGAAAACCCCUAAGCUGGUACCCGGGCUAAAAGAAAAGGAAAUAUCAAGUCCUAUCCCUCAAAAAUGCUACANN
rnacentral:lncRNA from 1 species